UACGGAGGGGACUAGCGUUGUUCGGAAUUACUGGGCGUAAAGCGCACGUAGGCGGAUAUUUAAGUCAGAGGUGAAAUCCCAGGGCUCAACCUUGGAACUGCCUUUGAUACUGGGUAUCUUGAGUUCGAGAGAGGUGAGUGGAAUUCCGAGUGUAGAGGUGAAAUUCGUAGAUAUUCGGAGGAACACCAGUGGCGAAGGCGGCUCACUGGCUCGAUACUGACGCUGAGGUGCGAAAGCGUGGGGAGCAAACAGG
rnacentral:rRNA from 1 species